GCGGCGUGCUUAACACAUGCAAGUCGAACGGAAAGGCCCUGCUUUUGUGGGGUGUUCGAGUGGCGAACGGGUGAGUAACACGUGAGUAACCUGCCCUUGACUUUGGGAUAACUUCAGGAAACUGGGGCUAAUACCGGAUAGGAGCUCCUGCUGCAUGGUGGGGGUUGGAAAGUUUCGGCGGUUGGGGAUGGACUCGCGGCUUAUCAGCUUGUUGGUGGGGUAGUGGCUUACCAAGGCUUUGACGGGUAGCCGGCCUGAGAGGGUGACCGGCCACAUUGGGACUGAGAUACGGCCCAGACUCCUACGGGAGGCAGCAGUGGGGAAUAUUGCACAAUGGGCGGAAGCCUGAUGCAGCAACGCCGCGUGCGGGAUGACGGCCUUCGGGUUGUAAACCGCUUUCGCCUGUGACGAAGCGUGAGUGACGGUAAUGGGUAAAGAAGCACCGGCUAACUACGUGCCAGCAGCCGCGGUGAUACGUAGGGUGCGAGCGUUGUCCGGAUUUAUUGGGCGUAAAGGGCUCGUAGGUGGUUGAUCGCGUCGGAAGUGUAAUCUUGGGGCUUAACCCUGAGCGUGCUUUCGAUACGGGUUGACUUGAGGAAGGUAGGGGAGAAUGGAAUUCCUGGUGGAGCGGUGGAAUGCGCAGAUAUCAGGAGGAACACCAGUGGCGAAGGCGGUUCUCUGGGCCUUUCCUGACGCUGAGGAGCGAAAGCGUGGGGAGCGAACAGGCUUAGAUACCCUGGUAGUCCACGCUGUAAACGGUGGGUACUAGGUGUGGGGUCCAUUCCACGGGUUCCGUGCCGUAGCUAACGCUUUAAGUACCCCGCCUGGGGAGUACGGCCGCAAGGCUAAAACUCAAAGGAAUUGACGGGGCCCCGCACAAGCGGCGGAGCAUGCGGAUUAAUUCGAUGCAACGCGUAGAACCUUACCUGGGUUUGACAUGGAUCGGGAGUGCUCAGAGAUGGGUGUGCCUCUUUUGGGGUCGGUUCACAGGUGGUGCAUGGCUGUCGUCAGCUCGUGUCGUGAGAUGUUGGGUUAAGUCCCGCAACGAGCGCAACCCUUGUUCACUGUUGCCAGCACGUUAUGGUGGGGACUCAGUGGAGACCGCCGGGGUCAACUCGGAGGAAGGUGGGGAUGACGUCAAGUCAUCAUGCCCCUUAUGUCCAGGGCUUCACGCAUGCUACAAUGGCUGGUACAGAGAGUGGCGAGCCUGUGAGGGUGAGCGAAUCUCGGAAAGCCGGUCUCAGUUCGGAUUGGGGUCUGCAACUCGACCUCAUGAAGUCGGAGUCGCUAGUAAUCGCAGAUAAGCAACGCUGCGGUGAAUACGUUCCCGGGGCUUGUACACACCGCCCGUCAAGUCAUGAAAGUUGGUAACACCCGAAGCCGGUGGCCUAACCGUUGUGGGGGAGCCGUCGAAGGUGGGACUGGUGAUUAGGACUAAAU
rnacentral:rRNA from 1 species